rnacentral:rRNA from 1 species
GUCGGGGAAGAAAAUGACUGUACCCGAAUAAGAAGGUCCGGCUAACUUCGUGCCAGCAGCCGCGGUAAUACGAAGGGACCUAGCGUAGUUCGGAAUUACUGGGCUUAAAGAGUUCGUAGGUUGUUGAAAAAGUUAGUGGUGAAAUCCCAGAGCUUAACUCUGGAACUGCCAUUAAAACUUUUCAGCUAGAGUAUGAUAGAGGAAAGCAGAAUUUCUAGUGUAGAGGUGAAAUUCGUAGAUAUUAGAAAGAAUACCAAUUGCGAAGGCAGCUUUCUGGAUCAUUACUGACACUGAGGAACGAAAGCAUGGGUAGCGAAGAGGAUUAGAUACCCUCGUAGUCCAUGCCGUAAACGAUGUGUGUUAGACGUUGGAAAUUUAUUUUCAGUGUCGCAGGGAAACCGAUAAACACACCGCCUGGGGAGUACGACCGCAAGGUUAAAACUCAAAUGAAUUGACGGGGACCCGCACAAGUAGUGGAGCAUGUGGUUUAAUUCGAAGAUACGCGCAGAACCUUACCAACACUUGACAUGUUCGUCGCGACUCUAAGAGAUUAGAGUUUUCGGUUCGGCCGGACGAAACACAGGUGCUGCAUGGCUGUCGUCAGCUCGUGUCGUGAGAUGUUGGGUUAAGUCCCGCAACGAGCGCAACCCUCACUUUUAGUUGCCAUCAUUAAGUUGGGCACUCUGAAAGAACUGCCAGUGAUAAGCUGGAGGAAGGUGGGGAUGACGUCAAGUCCUCAUGGCCCUUACGUGUUGGGCUACACACGUGCUACAAUGGUAUCUACAACAGGAAGCAA